GGGGGCUGUGGCUCAGUGGUAAAGCAUCUGCUUAGGGUGCAGAAGGACCCAGGUUCAAUCCCUGGCAUCUCCA